AGUGAACGCUGGCGGUAGGCCUAACACAUGCAAGUCGAACGGCAGCACAGUAAGAGCUUGCUCUUACGGGUGGCGAGUGGCGGACGGGUGAGGAAUACAUCGGAAUCUACUUUUUCGUGGGGGAUAACGUAGGGAAACUUACGCUAAUACCGCAUACGACCUACGGGUGAAAGCAGGGGAUCUUCGGACCUUGCGCGAUUGAUUGAGCCGAUGUCGGAUUAGCUAGUUGGCGGGGUAAAGGCCCACCAAGGCGACGAUCCGUAGCUGGUCUGAGAGGAUGAUCAGCCACACUGGAACUGAGACACGGUCCAGACUCCUACGGGAGGCAGCAGUGGGGAAUAUUGGACAAUGGGCGCAAGCCUGAUCCAGCCAUACCGCGUGGGUGAAGAAGGCCUUCGGGUUGUAAAGCCCCUUUGUUGGGAAAGAAAAGCAGCAGGUUAAUACCCCGCUGUUCUGACGGUACCCAAAGAAUAAGCACCGGCUAACUUCGU
rnacentral:rRNA from 1 species